rnacentral:rRNA from 1 species
UUGACAGAGAGUUUGAUCCUGGCUCAGGACGAACGCUGGCGGCGUGCCUAACACAUGCAAGUCGAACGGGGCGGCGCAAAGCACUGUGUGCUUUGCAAUGAACAAUGAACAAUGGACAAUGGACAACGAAAGGGACCGCGCAAGCGCGGGGAUUUUGAUUGUCCGUGACCGGAAUUCUGCGUUGAUUGUGAACACGGAGGUGCAUGCCAAUUGUCAAUUGUACACUGUACAUUGUCAAUUGCUGCGGCAAAGCACAGAGUGCUUUGCGCAGCCUAGUGGCGGACGGGUGAGUAACGCGUGAGCAAUCUGCCGGGGGGUGGGGAACAACAUCGGGAAACCGGUGCUAAUACCGCAUAAUGUAUCGGGAGGACAUCCUUUUGAUACCAAAGAUUUAUCGCCCCUUGAUGAGCUCGCGUCCGAUUAGCCAGUUGGCGGGGUAACGGCCCACCAAAGCGACGAUCGGUAGCCGGACUGAGAGGUUGACCGGCCACAUUGGGACUGAGACACGGCCCAGAAUCCUACGGGAGGCAGCAGUGGGGAAUAUUGGGCACUGGGGGAAACCCUGACCCAGCACCGCCGCGUGAAGGAAGACGGCCUUCGGGUUGUAAACUUCUUUUAUAAGGGAAGAAGAUGACGGUACCUUAUGAAUAAGCCACGGCUAACUACGUGCCAGCAGCCGCGGUAAUACGUAGGUGGCGAGCGUUGUCCGGAUUUACUGGGUGUAAAGGGCGCGUAGGCGGGGACGCAAGUCUGAUGUGAAAUCUGGUGGCUCAACCACCAAACUGCAUUGGAAACUGUGUCUCUUGAGUGAUGGAGA